AACCUGCAGAAAAGAGAUAACACCCAAGCAGAAUAGAAAAUAUAACCUUCCCAAUUUUGAAAGCAAAACAAAAAAACAGUGUUGAAUUGGAGAAGAUGACUUUAGCUUCUGUUGAAGGAAAGGAGCGGCUGAGUGGAGUUGCUCACGGUGAGAUUACGCUUGUUAAAGUGAUGGAAGAUGUGAGGUGAAUCGGAGGAGUAUUUCGACGGUCGAAGUGGAGAAGAAGGGUGUUGAGCGGUUAUGUUGAGAGGUUUUGCCGGCGAUUCGGUGGUCGACAGAUGGUGAGGAAGAACGCGCGGCUGGAGAUGGUGAGCGCGGUGUAGAUGUUGGCGGCUGUGGCGGUUGAUGACGGUCGGCAAUGGAUGAGGAAGAUUGAGGUUGUGGGGUAUGGUUGUUGGAUUUUAAAUAGGAAAAUGAAGGAGCGACGUUACGGUGAAAGGUUUGUGUUGUUGGAGCGUUUCGCCAGUGGUUUAUGGUGGUGAGAGCUGUUGAGGAAGACGAAGGAGGUUCCCCCAACGUGAAAAGGAGAGACUUUUUCUUUUUGUUUCUUCUUUUUCAUUGUGGAAAGUGAGUGAUA